rnacentral:lncRNA from 1 species
UACGCAGUUGCAUCGCAAUUCGCAUAGUCUAGCCACUUUGGGCUGGGCCACUUGCAUUUAGCCAGUAGGUUCGUAACUUCGUAAGUCGUAAAUGAAAUUGAAAUUGUUGUGUCGUAAGAAGCGUUGUCAGUCUUUGCUUUUUGGUGUUGCAGUAUUUGUAUUCUAACAAUCUCAUUUGCAGUUUAAUAAUUCAUAUUUAGUGCCUACCACAUAUUAUUUUGAUUGAAGCUUGUUUAUCUUCAUUUAAUUGCAAUUAUUUUUAAAACAAGAUGGAGACGUUGGCGAAGGGGCUAGUGUUUGGAGUGGGGGUGGCCAUCGCGCUGGUCCUGGUGGCGGUGGACUGGUGGCAGCACCGGAACGUGCCGGCGCCACAGAAUGUGUACGGGCAACGGGCGCCGCGGAACAACAACUAGUUCAGAUAUAGAUAAAAUCUACGGUGCACAAAUAUUGACACGCGAAGGAAAUAAUUAUUGAAUCUGAAUUGAUUUUGUAGACUAAUUAAUGCUAUUAAUAUUAAGUUGCAAAAGUUACAAGGGAAAGCACUAGACCCAACGAUAUUUUACCCUAGAGACACAGCACUAGCCCAUCAAAACUGAGGCGGACAAAAUGUGCAUAAAUGUCUUAAUUUCAUUUAGUCUCAUAAUAAAAAACUACGACCGUUAUUUAAACACUUAGACCAAUUAUUGUAUAGGACCUGCCUCGCUAGACGUUACUUUUCUGUCAAAGUAUAUGAACAACGAUCUAAUGC